CUUAUCAAGAGUGGUGGAGGGAUAGGCCCUGUGAAACCCAGCAACCUACCAUAGUGUGUGGUGCUAACCUACGGGAAACCGAAAGAUGAGG
rnacentral:ncRNA from 2 species